ensembl:lncRNA
GAAAACAAAAAGAGGAAGAAGAGUUGAAGCCUGCUCAUAACUCGGCCUCUAAAAAUGGGAUCAAGGCACAGAACAAAAAGGGGGAUAAGUGAAGGAAAUGAAGAGAUGGAUGGGGAUCCCUUAUCCUACAGCCUGCUUUCUGUUAAUCACGUUCUUCUGAUCACAUCACAUCCUUUCCACUACCCCUAAGGCCCAGCUAUAAAAACCUCUGACUUUGCCACUGCGGGACCCAGUGCUUGUUUGUGAGCUCCUAAAAAUCCACAUAAAUGUUUCCUUUGCUUAAUUAGAAAUAUUCUGUUUUAAUUUACAUUGCUGCUUUCCUUCUCCAAACUAUCACUUUCAUUAUGGCUUAUUUUUUAACUUCUAUAUGGUCUUAAUAAUCAACUUUAGGAAUUUUGCUCAUUUAAGUGUUGAUCGUGUCAUCAGAGCAGCUCUGGCUUUGACUCUGGCUCUGGCUUUUUCCACCACAUUCCUUUUAAUGCUAUAUCAAAGUAGGACAUGGGGAAUUUGAAUGCUGGGUUGUUGUCUUGAAUCCUUUGUCUGCUCGUUGCAUCAGUCAUCAUCGGUUUUUAAGUAUUUUUUUUUUCUUUGUUUGUUUUUUUUCACCCAGGACUUGUUGCAUUGCAAAGAUAAGAUGAUCAUUGUUACGCACUUCAGCUUCCUCAGUGUCGUAGCAGAUCAGUGUAUGGUGCAGAUAGACAUUAGUAUGUUCAUUUCCUGUCUGAAAACCUCACACUGCGAGCUGACGUUACCCUGUGCUUAUUUUGGUGUGAAAAGUGGCUUCCCGCUCUAACUUUAACUCUUACCACUUCCUGCAGACAUAGAAUAAAAAUCAGCCUAACCCUGAGUUUGAAAUUGAACAUUUUCUGUUUAGUUUGAGUACAUACUCCAAGUAUAUGUUAUUGCAAAUGAUUGGGACAUAUAUUGUACUGCUUUGUCACAGCUGUGCCAUGUCACUGACCCUAUGAACUGUAACUCUUUUGCUCACAUUUUACAGAUAACGAGGGCACUUAGUAACUUUUGCAGUAUUAGUUUAAACACCUGUCUGUGGACUGAUGUGGCAAAUUAGAAUACUGGCAUUUUGGCAUAUUUCAUUUCAUGUUAUUUUCACAUGGUUAUUAGGACAAACCCCAAAUGUUUAUCCCAUUUUAGGCUCAAAACAGACACGAACAAGGUAGCUGCACAUUGAAAGAUAAUAAUAAGGUUUUACUAAGAAGCCAGUGGUUCAAU